UGUGAAAUUUCACUAAUCAGAUGUCAUCCCAACCCCGCCCCACCAAGUGGAUUUCAAAAACAAAAAAUAGCAACUUUGAAUUUCAGUCUUAGCAAGACAAGCUAUAGCGACUCCCCUAGGGGGAAAAAUGUUUCAAUAGAAAAGAAUAUAGAGUAGCUGGGGUGUGUGUGUGUGAAAUAUUUAGAAGAGGGGCUCCAAUGAAACUCCUACUUCCUUAAAAAUAAAACAGUGCAUUUCUGACUCAAGCCAAUGAAAGCUGAAAAAGUCCCUAAGGGAGCACUCUUCUCUAUUUCUUGCUUCUCAGCCUCCCACCCCCUGAGAUUAAGAGCAGAAAGAAGAGUCUGGCCAGAGAAAUUUACAGCUUCCUAAUAGUAGACCAGCUCAGCCUCUUGCAAUUGCGAUUGCAGAGCAAAUACAGCUAUUUUAGGCACGAGGAUAGAGAUGGAUCUGAUGAAAAGUGAAGGCAAACUUGGUCCUUAGACUGACUUGCCAGAAAGGGCAUCCUCCAGUAAAAUAAUCCAUUUUCUUUCUUGCUCAGCAUCCCAAACUUGGGAAAAUACAGAGUCCUUUUUGCUUCUCAUAUGGGGAACAAGGUGAAAGUAAGCACCUAAGAAAAACACCUGUGCAAAUGCCAUAUAAAAACGAUCACAGACUUUAGGCCUAGUGGUCGCACAGGCUUUUCAGUCAAAAGGGUGCAUGUAGAAGAGAGUUUGGAAGGAGUGGAUCUGGGGUCCAAAGUCCCCCCCCAACAAGUUCUCUUUCCCAGCAACCUCCAUUGUAGGGGGGGCUGCGUAAAUAUUUACAAAGCUUUCAAGUUUCUGAUUUUACAUCAUCUUCAGGAUAUAAAACAUUUGAGUUGAAGGAACCCCAAAGCAAACCGCUUUCUCAGCGUCUCCGGAAAGGCUGCACCACUAGCAUGAAAAGGGAGCACACCUGGGAAAUGAAGACUCAUGUCGGUGUCCCAGGAAAGCCAUUGGCAAAAGGCACUGGGAAGAGGGUGGCAAAUUUAGGAUUUGCUGGAGGCUUGGGCCCAGGCUGGGGGGAGAGCCCGAAGUGGCUGCGCAGCGCGGCGUGAAAGCUUUCUGAGAGACAUGCCGAAAACCAGACUCCCUGGUUGGAAUAACCUGUGAGAUCAGUGCCUGGGCCUGUUGGCAUCUCUGCCCAAAACAGCCUGGACCGCCGCCAGCCCAGGCCUGAGCGUGGCCUUGGAGCCACCACCGGAGCCCAAACAAGCCCCAGACAGGUGCUCAGGGGGUCUCUCCUGCUGCGGCCCUCAGUGGGCACACAGCAUUUCUUGGCUAGAAGGGGAGCAGCGGGUUGUGUGUUGGUGGGGGCGGAAGCUUAGGCUCUUGAGAACAGCCUCCCCAGAGGCUCUUCGGGAUUGACUGUCCCAGUUACCAGGUGGCCUCUGCGGAGGGCAGAACCCAGCUUUGCUCAGCAGGCUAGCAGGUUCCAGGCCCUAGAGCGCUGAGCUUUCUCUCCACCCUCCCUCCAGGCUGUGAUCCUGCCAUUCAGGGUGGGCCGAGGGAGGAAUGGCACGGGGCCAGCCCCAGAGCAGGGACACAUCGAAGCCACCGUGCAAGCCACCCCAUGUGGGUGUGUUUUCGCAUGCCUUUUCCAGCCAGAGGCCGCCCCGUCCACCUGGGGUCCUGAGCCCUCUUGUUUCAAUCCAAGUACAGAGAAGACCCACGCCAGAAGGGCAAGGCUGCAGCCUGAAAGUGGGGAGAAGGCUAUGGCAGGUCAUCCGAGGGCCAGGAGGGAGGGUCAGGGGGGUAGAUGAGGGGCCCUGCGUCUGAGCCAGCCCUCUGGGGGUCGGAAAAGAGAGAGAACUGGGUGGUCCCUGCGGGAUAAAACACGCAGCAAAGAAGCCUGCUCAGCCUUGGCACCGGGACGCCCCCUCUGGGGGGUGGUGCACCCCGCCCUGAGCCAGCCAAUCCCACGGGCCUCCCAUUUGGCCUCAGUAACUGGACUCCAGGCCACCAAAAGGCUGGUGGGUUCCUGAUUGUAUGUCUUCGAAUGGCAUUAAAAGGUCCAGACCAGGCACUCAUAGGCCAGGCCAUAUUUAGCUUCAGGUUCACCCGGAGAAUAUUUUAGGUGCUGUUUGAAAGGCGAGAUCUGGGCCCGGUUGCCGGCUGUCACAUGGCAAGUGUAGGACGGCUCCCUUGCGGGCCUGGCCGGUGGGUGCUGAUGGCCACGGAUGCCUGAGUCCCUGUCAGAGUGCCAGGGCCACGCGACGCGGUGCCAGGGAGCCAGGGAGCACCCGGGUCGUGGGUUCUGUGUCCGCAGGGCUUUUCGCCCCAUUUUUCACUCUGAUGGCAAUAAGGCCACUUCCAUUCACAGAACUCACAGAGGCUGUUUUCAGCCCCUUCUUCCCCGAUGGCCCAGUGUGAUAUGCCAGCUUGCUGAGCGAGCAACUGCCUCCUCCUGUGUCAGCAACAAUGGAGUGGUUAACCCUUUCAAGGCCGGGGUAGGGGGGACAGGGUACUGACUGGCUAGGGGGAGGGCCCUGUCCCCAGAGACCCUUGGAGGUCACACAUCCCAGGGAGCCCCUGCCCUUGAUUUCUUGAGUCUGCACCGUGGACCUUAACCGUGAUUUUCCCACUCUGGCCCCAUCGGUGAUAACCACCAGGCUCCCUGACCCAAGCUCUCACCCUCACUUGUUCGUACAGCCCUGGAAAUCCCUGCUUGCUUGUAUCCUCAUCCGUGUUUCUGAGCUGAUAACUUUCCACAUCCCAAAGAAAAGAGAAAUGGAAGGAUCCGUGAUUCACUCAGAUUAGUAAGGAGGGUUGGGAAUAAUAAUCAUUCAUGGUCUGGGGGAGAUGGCCCCAGGCUCCCUAGAAUCACUUGACCUGAGGGACUGAUCCUUAUCACCUGCCCUGGGAUCCCAGAUCCUGGUUUUCUGGACAUGGGGGAGGUGCAUCUGUAUGGAACCCGUGGAGACCUAUUUAGCCAAUUCUUAGCCUUUAGGGAGCCUAGGUGGAGCCACCGCCGUGGACCAGGGAAAGCGUCGGCUUGUCUCAAGUUUGCUCUAACUAUCUGCAUUUUUUCCUUUUUAGUUUUGGCUCUUGGGGUUCCAAGAGCCCUCACUUCCUGCCCAGCUGGUUGGUUACCGCAGGGAAAAUGAGGGACUUUUGGGGGCAGAUGUGUUUGCAUUCCACUAUCAUAAUGCCCCUAAAAAUCCUUAUUGCUCUUGCAGUAUUCCUCGGGGGUCCUUGGGCCAGCCACGGCAGCUGAGUUUCUCCAGCAACUAAAAGAAGAGAGAAAGAUGUUCUCCCCCUGCCCCCACCCCAAACCCUCCUUUCUGGUCCCUGGGAGUGCGCCCCUCGUGGCACUGAGAACUGGUUGGUGAUCACAGCGGAAAAUAAAAAAGAUGCCACCCGCAGAUGGUUACUAAACACACUUUUUGCCCUCCAGGGUCCGAAAGUUGGAGAUGAGGCUUGGGAAACAGGACAACUGCGGCUGCUGUCUGCGUGUGCUGUGGGGGCUCGUGGCGGGGAAGGUGGGGAAGAAACAAGUGUUACCUGUUUGACAAGGCUGGUUCACAUUUAGCCUGGGCCUUCCAGCAGGGCCUCUGGGCUCCUCACCUUGGCAGAAGCCCUGGACAGUCAUGACUGGCUCACCGGCUUCCCCAAAUCAGCCCACUUUCCCACCCUCUGCCUCAGUUUCCUUCCCCCAUGCUCCAGCCUGAAAGGGUUCUCACUUGUACCUGCCAUGUUAUUGUGAGUUCAAGUGAUAGACAGGCUCAGAAGGCGCUGGGAAAGUGAGGAUAAGCAUUACACAUGAAAGCUGUCUGUGCUGAUACUAAUACCUGCCGCGCAGGCAGAGACAACUCAAGACAGGAGCAGGACUGCGGUCCAACAUAUGCACAGGUUUCUGCAAUCCUGGAAUCAGGCAGCCCCAGCUCUGCAGCUCUUGCAGUGUGUCACCCCCCUAGGCAAGUGACUCAGCCUCUAUGGACCUCCAUUGCCUCUCAUAGGAAACCCACAUUUUGGGAUAGAAGUUUCUCAAGUCUGAUAGGCACAGGAUUUUAAGUAGUUCCUGGCUAGAGAUGUAAAUUCUUCGAACAGGUAUUUCUUUCGUACAGCCGAUUUUUACUAUGGCGAGCAGUUGGCUUUCAGUUUAGGGUUCCGAGGAGGAGGGCUCUUUUCUUUUUACAUCAAUUUCUUGCCUGGAGAAUCCCCAUGGACAGAGGAGCCUGGCGGGCUACAUCCAUGGGAUCGCAAAGAGUCAGACAUGACUGAGCGACCAAGCACAGCACAGCGUGUAAGAUAAAGAGGGUGAGCUGCUUGCAAGGAAACAUUCAAGCAAAGGAAAGUACAGGUGGCAGGAUGGGGCAGGACUCAAGAUGAUCCUUUGUAAAGUUUCAUCUGCCUUUUCUUUUGAUCCUGGCUUGUGGGAUCUUAGCUUCCGGAUUAGGGACUGAACCUGGGCUCUCAGCAGUGAGCGCUCGGAGUCCUAACCACUGGGCCACCUGGGAUGUCCCCAUAGUCCACUUCUUUAGAAUUCUCAUUUGUCUUAGGGAUUUUCCGCACCCGUGGAGUUGGUGUGCCACUUCCAACCUGUGGUGGGCUCCACCUGUGACAACCUGGGUGCCACGAGUCUCCCCCCGCCAACUCCUGCCCUGCAUGCCAACACCAGUGAGAUGCCUCGGAUCUCUGCCCCCACACCCACCCAUAGCUCUGAUUGGUCUCUUAUUUUAGGAUCUUGCUACCCCAGUGCCCUCUUUCCUGGCCAGGGCACCUCUCUGAGCCUCAGUUUUCUCUGUGCAAUGGGGAGAAUAGUUACCCACCCCCCCAGAGCAGUGUGAAGAUCCAGAACUCAGUUGGGCAGCUCUGGUGGCUCACAAACAGGGCACAGCUCAGAAGGCGGUGGGCACCGGUGGCCCUGGGAUGGGCAGGGGCACAGUGGCACGCGUGGCCUGGAGGGGCACUCCUUGGACAGGCUGCUGCCCGGCCCGGCCAUCCUCUCCCCGCCCACCCCCUGGGAUGGGGAAACAGCGGGCACUGGGUCUCAGCCAGCAGGGGCGGGUCUGGUUUCACUUUCUGCUGUGUCAUGGGGUGGGGGGUGGCAUCAGGGCCCAGCUGGCCAGCUGGGGCGGGCAUCAAGAGGCUGGCGGACAGCUGGGGCCCAGCUGCCAGAGCACAACCUGUGCUCUUGCCCUUCUGCCUGCUGGGCUGGGGGCUGGGCCCCAGGGAUUCCCUGUGAAUGCCCCUUACCCGCCGCUGCCCCCUGCCUUGCACAGUGGGAGAACCCCAAGUGAGAAAAGCCAGCAGGGUUUGAGAUGGUUCUUCUAGCCAUGAGAUCUCCCCCAACCCAGACACGUUCUUCAGCCCUCAGUCUUGAGUUUCCUGGACUGCAGCUACUGAUUCUGCGUCAGAGUGCUCCAGUUGGAUGCCUGCUUCCUGCUGCCUCCACUGGUGCAUGCCUCCUGAGGGCCUACUGUGUGCUCAGCACGGUCCCUGGUGCCAGGGAUGCCGUGGGAAGCAAGAUAGCACCUGCCCUCCUAGGGCUCCCGGUUGAGUGGUGUGGCAAAAUCAAGAGCAAGUAAAGAGAGAAAGAAUCACGCGAUGGGGACAGUUCCACACGGUCCGCUUCAUGUUAGCACCUCAGGGGAGGGGCAUGUGUACGUGUGCGUGUGUGUGCAUGCGUACGUGUCAGGGGUGUGAUGACUCCUGGAACACAUAGGUCAGUUGGGAAUACAGACCUGGGGGGCCAGGUGUCCCCGGCUUGACUCUGGAUUUUUCCACUGAUGGGUAUGAAACCUGAAGCAAAUUUCUUCUCUUUGGGCCUCAAUUUCUCCGUCUCUAUAAUGGUACCUACAGAGCAGGGCUGCAUGGGGGAUGAAAUGAAUAUCCAUACAGAACUAAAGACAGUGCCUGGUAUCGACUGCCUGCUGUCUAAGUCUCAGCCACUGUCUACUAACUAAGCAUCAUAAACACGCCCUGUUCUCAGAGAUGACACAAGGCUGUCACCGCAGGCUAAGAGCAGCAAUAAUGCUGUUGAGCCCACCCUCCCCCACUCAGAGCUUUACCCGCCCCCUUUCUCUAGCCUCACCAGCCUCAGGUAGGCCUUAGCAUCUCUUUGUUCAGAUGAGGACACGGAAGCUCAGGCAGGUGAAGAGAUGUGUCCAAGUGGACCCAGCUUAAGUCAGUCUGACCCUGGGUGUGGGGUCGGCUUCACAGUGUGGACCCUGCUGGUUCAAUGCUCCACUCUUGUCAUUGAAAUUCUGAAUAAUUUGGGGAACAAGGGGUUCAUGUUUUCAUUUUGCAAAUUACAAAGCCAGUCUUGUCCAGGUCUGACUUCCUCCAAAGGUGGCCCUCUUAACUCCUACAAUCAAUCUCUCAUAGAUGGAUGGUCCAGAACAGUUUUCCAGUUCAUCAUUACAGUAUUUAGUAUGGGACUGAAAUCCUGGGGAGCAAACAGGACUUACUACGGGGCCAAACUGCCCUAGUUUUUGUUUGAUUGUCUUGUCCCCAUUAGAAGGAAGGCAGGGCAGCUGCCCAGGGCAGGGGGUGAAUCAUUCAUUGCUGUAUCCGCAGGACCUGGCGUGUACUAGCUGCUCAGUUAAUAAUUGUGAAAUGAAGCAAACUAAUGGCAGGCUGCUGGAUCUCCUUAACUAAAACAGAUUUAAAUGACACUACCAAGAAAGCAGGUCAAAGUGGUGGCCGUCCUCUCCUGGCUCUGGACAAGCCCCUGAAGGGUGUGGAGGCAAAGGUCUCUUCCCUCCCCAGGUGGCAAACCUGAAUGCCAAUAGCGUGCAGCAGAUUACUGUUUAAACAAGUCUGGGACUUCCCUGGUAGUCCAGUAGUUAAGAUUCCGUGCUUCCACUGCAGGUGGGUUCCAUCCCUGAUUGAGGAAUUAAGAUCCUACAUGCCACGUGGUAUGGCCAAAAAAAAACCCAAAACAGGCGCUGGUGGGGACUUCAGAGGCAACACAACUGUUUAAAGAAAACACAGGCCUGGAUUCCUGUGCACCAGUUAUUGGAGAAGAUGCCAUCUCAGCCAAAAGAAUAUUGUAAUUCUGGGCAGGUUCUAGUCCCAGCCAAGGAUCAGGGGGUUGAGAGUUUGGAUUUGGGGGGGUUCAAGUUCCUCUUUUCCUCAGAAAUUAGUUUACAGUUCCAAAUUUGCUCCCUUAAAAAACAAAAACACAACAACUUAGUUUUACUAACAAGCAGAGAAUCAUCUGAAAAUCCUUUAAGAGAUUUACAACAAUAAUUAAUGUGUUUUGGACAAGCUGUUUUCACAGGCUCGAUCUCUAUCACUUCAGAUAAUUGCCAUAUGAAGUAGGAGUUACUGGUCUCAUUUCUAAAUAAUAUCGUAACUGCCAGCAUACACUGAGUGUUUUAUAUGAGCUAAACACUUUACAUGUAUGAAGUCCUGUUGCACGAGCAACAUAUCGGGAGGCACUGUUACUGUCUUUGGCUUCCUGAUGAAGCAACAAGCUUAGAGAGAGGAACUGACUUGUCCAAGGUCGCACACCCAGUGUGUGGAUGAGCCAGAAUUUAAGAUGGAAACUUCCAGAUCAGGCGUCAGCAAACUUUUUCUGGAAAGGGCCAGAUACUAAAUAUUUUAGACUUUACAGGUCAUACAGUCCCUUGUCACAGCUAUUCCACUCUGCUGUUGUAACAAGAAAACAGCCAGAAACAUUAAGUAAAUGAGUGGUCCUGGCUGCAUGUUCCAAUAAAACUUUAUUUACAAAAUCAGGAAGUAGGGUAAUUUUGGCCCCACAGACUAUAUAGUUCCCCUCCCCUCCGCGUUCCAGACCCUAACACCUGCCUUCCAGUUAGGAAGCAGCUGGCCUGGCCUCGUUCUUCCUCACCGUCUCUCCCUACCUGUGAGGGGACUCAGUCACAUCUCAGAACAGAGCCUGCUGGGCCUUGGGAAGAGGGUCAGUUGGCCCCUCUUUCCUUGGGAUUAUGAAGCUCUUGGAAUUUAGAACUAUUAGGACUUGUUAGUGACUGCCAUGAUCGAUCACCACGGGGACUUUAAAACUGUAAUUUUUAUAGCUGUUAAGUGAGUAACUUAAAGAGGAAAGUGUUGAAAGAGUUUUAGGAGAAUACCUCAGUGGGGCACUUUGGCUGUGGAAGGAACUUCUCUUUUGGAGAAGGCAUUUCUCUGGAGUUGGUGAGAAUGCAACGGGAGGGAAAAUGUCUUAAGGCGGAAGAAGGUAACGAGAAGGGGAGAUGGGAAGAGUGUGUGUGCAGAGAGAGGGUGGAGGAGGGAGAUUUCCCAAAGCAGGAGGCUGGAGCCCACGGAUUCCUGACAGGAGAAGGGGUCGGGCAGGGAGACAUGACUUUUUUCCCCAACAGCUUUAUUGAGAUAAACUUCAUUUACCACACAAUUCAACCAUUUCAAACAGUACUCCCCCCAAAUGGCUGUGAGUAUGUUCACAGAGUUGUGCGUCAGUCAUCACAGUCAAUCUUAAGACAUUUUCAUCACUUCAAGAAGAAAACCCUGUCCCCUUUACCAGCCCCCUACUCCGGCUAAAUCUUCUAACCCCUCCCCCAUCCUCCACUCCUAAACAGUCGCUAAUCUCCUCUUCGUCUUCGCCUGUUCUGGAUCUUUCAUACAAAUGAAAUACAUAUUUCAUAGGGAACGUGACCCUCUGUGACCGGCUUCUUUCACUCAGCAUUAUGUUCUCAAGGUUUGUCCAUGCUGCAGCCCAUAUCAGAGCGUCAUUCUUUUUCAUGGCGGAGUCACACCCACAUGGCACAUAGAUUAACAGGACUUUGUUGUGAAGGGGAAGGCAACAUGACUGAGAAGGCGGUGGGGCGCGGCGGGCGCGCAUCCCUGAGGAGAGAACAGACACGGACCCGGCAGCUCCUCCUCUUCUCUGUGGGAUGGUCAAUGAAUGCGUGAAUGUCCAUUCAUUCCGUUUCUUAAGCUGUUCUUUAGUCACUGGGGUCACAAAGAGUCGGACACGACCAGUGACUAACACUUUAGUCACUCAGUCCUGUCUGACUCUUGUGAUCCCCAUGGACUGUAGCCUGCCAGGCUCCUCUGUCCAUGGGAUUUCCCAGGCAAGAACACUGCAGUGGGUUGCCAUUUCCUUCUCCACGGGAUCUUCCCAAUCCAGGGAUUGAACCUGCAUCUCCUCUAUUAGCAGGCAGAUUCUUUAUCACUGAGCCACCAGUGAAGCCCAAUUAUUUGAGUACUUACUAUAUUACUAUAAAUUAUAAAUUUGGGGGGCUCCAAGAUCACUGCAGAUGGUGAUUGCAGCCAUGAAAUUAAAAGAUGCUUGCUUCUUGGAAGAGAAGUGAUGAUCAACCUAGACAGCAUAUACAAAAGCAGAGACAUCACUUUGCCAACCAAGGUCCGUCUAGUCAAAGCUAUGGUUUUUCCAGUGGUCAUGUAUGGAUGUGAGAGUUGGAGCAUAAAGAAAACUGAGCAUCGAAGAAUUGAUGCUUUUGAACUGUGGUGUUGGAGAAGACUCUUGAGAGUCCCUUGGACUGCAAGGAGAUCCAACCAGUCCAUCCCAAAGGAGAUCAGUCCUGGGUGUUUAUUGGAAGGACUGAUGCUGAAGCUGAAACGCUGAUACUUUGGCCACCUGCUGCAAAGAACUGACUCAUUUGAAAAGACCCUGGUGCUGGGAAAGAUUGAAGGCAGGAGGAGAAGGGGACAACAGAGGAUGAGAUGGUUGGAUGGCAUCACCGACUCGAUGGACAUGAGAUUGAGCAAGCUCUGGGAGUUGGUGACGGACAGGGAAAGCCUGGCGUGCUGCAGUCCAUGGGGUUGCAGAGUCAGACACGACUGAGCGACUGAACUGAACUAUAAAUUAAGAGGCUAAGUAUGGGGCAUGAGCUGUAACCAACAAGACAGACACAGUUCCUACUUAGGCACAGGAGAGGAAAUCAUAAACCAAAGAGGAAGAAAACAUUUUACGUUUGAUUAAAAUAAUACAGCAACAAUGGAAGGAAACAAUUACACCACCAGGUCUAAGUAAAUCCUUGCAAACAUGGGGUUUACAAACAGCACAUCUUAACACAAGGCCCAACUCAGAAUUGUGGCAAUCUUCCCCUCAGAGUGACUUGGAAGCAGCACAGCCAGGAGAAGGCUCUGGAAGAGGUAGGUGGCUCUGGGUUUUUUGGUUUUUUUUUCCUGCCAGCAUUUUCUACCCCUCCAAGUAAGAAACAGUAUGCCCAGUGGGAAUAUGGCCAAAGAUGGCUGCUUACAACACUCAUGCCUCAGCUACAGUAAUGGGUCUGGGUGUAGACACGUGACUUGAUAUGAAAAAUCAUAGCAGCCCACUUCUGAGCUGGGCUGCAGUGCUUGGUCCACGUCUGGUCACGUGACCUAAGCUGGGCCAAGGCAGCAUUGUUUUAAGUAGAGCUGGGGAGAGGAUUGGUUUUCCCACCCACUCAGCAGCAUCCAGAGCUACUAGUGAAUGCAAAGACUGAGGCCAACAUGGAGGGAGGGAGGAACACGGGAUGGGAUGGGGGUUUGGGGAGGAGACAGACUGGCGCUGCGUUCUGUCCCUUGAUCCAAGAGUGACUCAGCCUCUCUCGUCCUUCAGCAUGGUUACCUGAGUAAUGAAUCCCCCAUCAUACCUCAAUCAGGUCAGCUCUGGUUUCUGUAUGCACCAGAGCAUCCCAAUUCAGGACUUGGGAACUGUUUGUUCCUUCUCAUGGACUGUGUGAAGCUAAGCAGGGUCGGUUAUCCUCAGAGCUCAAUUCUCCCCCUAGGUUUGCCUUGCUGUGUUUGGGAAUGAGAGAUUCCCCCAGGCCCCUCUCCAUCUCUGCCCACCACCACCAGCCUGCUUCCAAUUAAUUUACCACUGAAUCAGAGCUCAACAUUUAUUCUUGGGCUUCAAGUCCCAACCUCUUUCUGCUUGCCUGCGUCUCUCUGACCUCAUUCCCAACACACGUCCACUUCUCCUCACCAGGCUCUCCACCAUGGACAGAGCCUGCAGCUUGUCCUGGCCUCUGCUCCAACGCCCACCACGUUAAUGGAAUGAUAUUUUCUCCCUGUGAGUGGUGACCUUGAACCUGGAGACCCAGGUCUCAUCUUUGCACUCCAGCCGCUGGUGUGCAGCAGGUGGGCAGCAAGUGCAGGAGGCAGGGAAGGGAGAAGGGGAGAGAAGGUCGCUCCUUCCUGCUGAUUCAGGUCAACCAGCGUGUCAAGUUCUACCCUUGUUUCCUCUGCCAGGUACUCUUGUACCACGUGGACACACAGCUCAUACCCUCAUCUCCUUUAGGCCUCUCCUCCAACGUCAGUUCUCCAAUGUCCUGGACUGCAGUUCCCAGUGAACUGCAUUCUCCCAGACCCCAUCUUGAUCCCUACUUUCCGUGCUUUCUUGUUCCCUUCCGCCACCACUGGUCUUUCUCCAUGCUCAAUUUAUCUACUUUCUCUCUCUGAAAUGUCAGCUCCAUGUGGGCAGCUGUCUUUGAUUUGUUCUCUGCUGUGUCCACAGCACCUAGUAGGUGCUCAGUAAUCAUCUGUGGCGCGAAUUCACCAAAACCACCUUACCAAAUUUGUUUCUCCCUAUGCACUUCAUGUGGUCCAGGUGUGGUCAUGUGACCUAAGCAGGACCAAUCCAGGAUUGAUUUCAGUGGAGCUGCUGAGAAGAUUGCUUUUCCCACCCACUCUCCCAGCAUCCAGAGCUCCCGUGACUGGUGAACUGCAUUCCAUAUGUUGAUAUGGAGAAGGAAAUGGCAGCCCACUCCACUAUUCCUGCCUGGAGAACCCCCAGGGACAGAGGAGCCUGGCGGGCUACAGUCCAUGGGGUCGCAAAGAGACAGGACUUAUUGACUAAGCAACAAAAAUGCACUUCAUGCAUUUUACAGGUGCUGUGAGCGUCAGGUGAUGUGUUAGGUUCCUAGGGCAAGUUAUUACAAACUGGUUGGCUUAAUGCAACAGAAAUCUAUCAUUUCCUUAUUAUUAUCAUAAUCUACUAAACCUAUGACUUCUGCAGGCUGUUAGUCCAAACUUGGCAGGGACACAGCCCUCCCAGGUGCUCCAGAGGAAAAUCCAUUCCUUGCCUCCUCCAGCUUCUGGUGGCUCCAUAUUCCUUGGCAUGUGGCCGCAUCACUCUAAUCUCUGCCUCUGUCUUCCUGUGUUCUUCCCUGUGUGUCUGUCUCUGCUUCUCUCAUAAAAGGAUUCUUGUAAUUGCAUUUAGUGCCCAUCUGAAUAAUCCAGGGUAAAUUCCACCUCAAGACCCUUAACUUAACCGCAGCUUUUCCAUAUAAGGAAACCUGUGAAGGCUCUGGGAGAGAAGUGGGCAUACCUUUUCUUGCUCUAGGAGUCACCAUUCAGCCCUCUAUAUUAUUUGCUUAAAGACCAGAAAAGCAAAGGUUUCCCACCACCACUUCAUUGGCCUGACAGAUAUGUGAUGAAAAGAGUAUGAUCAUCAUAUUACCUUGCUCCCGUCAAGUGUGGAAAUGAUUUUUUAAAUGCCAUUUUCUGUGUUUUUAAUUAUCCCAGUUUUCAAAAAUAAUACCCUGCAUAUGGUAAAAAAACCAGUACGGAAACAUGGGAGAUACAGGAGCCCCUUUGCAAUUUUCCUCUUAACUCCAGUUUCACUUUUUAAAUGUAAUCACCAUAUGCAGCCUGCAUAAUCUUCAUAAAUUUUCUAAGCAUAUUCGAGAGCACACACUUUUUUGGCUUCUAACAUUAAGAACAGUGGCGGGGGGCUGGGAUGGUUUAUGUCCGAAGGCACGACAGCCCUCUGACCUGCCAGAAGCUUUCUAAUGACUUCUAGCAAUGCACCACACUUAAGCUGUCCCCUACUGUCAGCACUUCGGUUAACUCCAGGAUUUUAAUGUUACAGAUACUCUCUGGUAUCUGUCCAGCUAUACUCCAUCGGAUACACUCCUAGACAUGGGAUUUCCAGGCCAAUGUGUACAUUUUAAAUUUCUACAGCUAUUGCCCAGUGCCAUUCACCAAGGUGGUGAAAUUCACACGCCCAUCGAGAAUGUACAGGUGAGGGUGUCUCUUGCCAACACCCUCACCCAUCCUGUCAAGACAGCAGCAUGUCAGAUCUCAAACUCAGGUAAGUGGACUUUCCAUGUGGGCCUGAUGGGGUGGACACCACCUGAGAGGUUGUCCCUGUAGCUGUCUGAGGCACUGAGCUGCUCAGAGCUCUCGUUUAGGUUUUAUAAACAAAGACAGAGUCUGGGUAGGUGAGCCAGAAUCAUGCAGUGAGACGCAUUGUGCAACUCAGUAUUUAUUUCUUUAGCACAGCUAGGACUUAAAUAUGGUCAAAACAUAUUCUCCUUUUAAUUUACACAAACAAAUAUGUUCCCGGGCUGACACCUCCUGUGCCAAGUUUCUAGGGGAAACGAAAUUCUACUGUGAGAUGAGAAACCACCAGAGAGAAAAGGGUGGAAAAGCCAUCACUGUCUGCUUUGCACGUCCGAGCUGGGCUUCUCGGAGGGGUGUUUCAGAACUGGGCUGCUGCCUCUUGGUCUCUUUCUGUCUUUGUUGCAGAUAAACCUGCCAGUAAUUUCAGCAAAUGAAACGUGGAACAUGUAAAGGCCAAAUGAUGGAAAACACUCCGGUUUUAAUAAAAGGUCUGCUCGGCUGAGACUCCUCUGUCCUGCUAGUCAGGAGAUGCAAAGAUUUAUCCAGAGAGGGGCUGAUGAAUUGAAGAAACAGAAAUGAGGCCAAUUUCCCAGACCAGGGAUUGAACCCAGGCCACGGCAGCAAAAGCCUGGAAUCCCAACCACUAAGCCACUCAAGAACUCCCUGGGACCAGCUUCUUAGUUUGAAAACUGUCAAUAAAGAGGAAAGAGUCAAGCAUGUAUCCUUUCUGGUAUGAGCCAUACUUUACAGGGACCAAAUGGCUGAUUAGGAGAGGUUUCUUUAUAGACAUAUUCCAGCUAACACAGAAGAACAGAAUUAGUAGGCCACCAUUUUCAACCUCUAAUGGAUCUAGACAGCGGUCAUCAGCGGUUGCUAACAUCAUGAAGGGGGACAACCACAAAUUAUGUGCCUUCAAAUAAAAAUAGGAAGCAUCCAUUAGGAAGCAGUCAUACAAACAUACAAAAGACAAACGGGAAUCUAAGUGGACUUCUAGAUCUAACUACUGAUUUAUAAGAAAAACAGUGCAGAGAGGAACAGGUAUUAUAGUAUGUCAAUGUAAUACCAGCAGAGGGAUGCAGUAAGCAAAACCCAGACCGGGACACACUAUAGAACAACCAACUCAGUUUCUUCAACAAAUAAAUUGCAAGAGAAGAAAAAGAGAGGAGAGGAGAAUCUUUGGGUGCAGAUCAAGAAAGAGGUAAGAGGCAUAUGAACCAAUCACAAUGUAUGAACCAUACAUGAAUCUUGAUUUUAGCCAGCUGUAAAGAAGAUAAUGAGACAACCAGAAAAUUAUGAACAGUGGAUAUUUUCUGAUUAUUAAAGCAUUAUUGUUCGUUUUAGUAAGGAUGAUGGCAGUAAAAUCCUUAUUUUUGGAGUCAUUAAAAUAUUUGCAGAAGAUAGCGAAUUUGCUUGUAAGUAUCUAGGAUGAGGAAGGAGGGGAAGGCGGGGGUUAUAGAUGGAACAAGGUUGGCUGAGACUUGGUGAUUAUUGAAGCUGGUUGAUGGAGAGCUAGGGUUUAUGGUACCAUGUACUUGCAUGCACUUGUGUUAUUUGUUUGACCUGCCUGCCCAUUGCGGGCAUCUCUGAGGCAAGCCUGGGUAGCAGGUUUGCGAUACAUCUAAGCACAUGCGUGUGUGCACACCCUCUUGUGUCGCCAUGGCAACUAGCGAGGUGAGAAAGCAGCAUCCAAAAGGUUCCUGUCCACAUGAGGAUCAAGCCAGGCUGCUGGUGCUAUGCUCGGCCCAUCAUAGCUGCUCCCUUUGGAGGAUUCUUGGUCAGACCUUCACAGCCCUACUCCUUCCACCAGAUCUGCCUCCUGUGCUCCUUUGCCAUCACUCACGCCUUCCCUAUGCGCCCCCCAAGGAAGCAGAGCCCAAUGAAUGGAGAGAACAAGACCCUGAAUCAGUUGCAGGCUCAGUUCGUGACUUCCCCACUUAAUGGCAGGACUUUUCAUCUCCCCGAGCCUCAAUUCUCUCACCAGUAAAAUGGGCAUGAUACAACCUCAAUGAACUCAACAAAUCUUUAUUAUGGGGAGACAGUGGCAAAAAGGACCUUGCCUCUACCUCAUGGAACUGGACACCUGAAGGUGAAAGGCAAUGAAGAGUAUGUACUGUGAUAGAGCUAUGACCAACAUAAACAGCGUACUAAAAAGCAGAGACAUCACUUUGUGGACAAAGGUCAGUCUAGUCAAAUCUAUGGUUUUUCCAGGAGUCAUGUAUGGAUGUGAGAGUUGGACCAUAAAGAAGGCUGACCACUGAAGAAUUGAUGCUUUCGAACUGUAGUGUUGGAGAAGACUCUUGAGAGUCCCUUGGACUGCAAGGAGAUGAAACCAGUCAAUUCUAAAGGAAAUCAGUCCUGAAUAUUCAUUGGAAGGACUGAUGCUGAAGCUCUAGUACUUGGACCACCUGAUACAGAGAGCUGACUCAUUGGAAAAGAUCCUGAUGCUGGGAAAGAUUGAGGACAGGAGGAGAAGGGGACGACAGAGGAUGAGAUGGUUGGAUGGCAUCACCGACUCAAUGGACAUGAGGUUGAGCAAACUCCGGGAGAUGGUGAAGGACAGGGAAGCCUGGCAUGCUGCAGUUCAUGGGGUCGCAAAGAGUCAGAUACAACUUAGCAGCUGAACGACAACAAGGGACUUCCCUGAUGGUCCAGUGGUUAACACUGCGCUCCCAAUGCAGGGGGGCUGGGUUCGAUCCCUGGUCAGGGAACUAGAUCCCACAUACUGCAACUGAAAGUUUGCAUGUCACAUUUAAAAUCCCAAGUGCCACAAUUAAGACCCGAGAAGCCAAAAAAAAAAAAAAAGGAGUAUGUACUGUGAUAAAGUACAUGUUUAGCAAAAUUUUUUUGAAAAUUGGCAGUCACUAGUUAGGAAAUACCGUAACUCAUUUUUUUUUUUUUGACCCUGCAGCUUGUGGGAUCUUAGUUCCCUGAUGAGGGUUUGAACCCAGGGCCCAGGCAGUGAGAGCACCAAGUCCUAAUCACUGGGACCACCAGGGAAUUCCCAUAACUCUUAAUCAUAAUGUCAUAAUUCUUAAUCAUGCUUUUUGUUAACCAGGAUAUCCACACUUUGCAACUUGAGAGUAUCCAGCUGUGCCAAACCCAUAGAAUAUUUUUACUUAACUCAGUGCUCGUAUUGCCAUGAAGUAAGUACUAUUCUUCCAACUAUUUUGUGGAGGAAGUCAGAUACUCGCCCAGGGCUCCACUGUGAGUACAUGGCCCUGCCUUCUUCGCUCAGCCCUCUGCCUUGAUUCAGCUCUGAAAUGCAGCAUCAGGGCCAGGAAACCAGAACUUCCAGGAGAUGAAAAGCUCACCAGCCCCUGAUUCAACGGUGACACAUGAAUGAUGCUCAGUAAACAGUCAUCAAAUGGACCAACCAACCAGGCUAUCACCACUUCUGGCUGGGCCUCCAUCUGAAAUUGCAGAAACCCUCUAUAGCCACCGUGACCUCCAGUUCCCAUUUCAGACAGGCUGACAUCCACAAUGUCACAUGAUAGAAGGUGACUCCAGAGAGGCUGACUACAAGGCUUCUGGAGGGAGCUAUGGCAGACAAGAGAAGAGCCUCCCUCUUGCCACUGGAUUUGCUGGCCUAGUGACCACUGUGAACGCAGGAGGAAAGUGCCUGAGGGAGAUAAGGAGCCCCUGAGAUAAUGCUGAGUUCUGCAUGCAGCUGUGGGAGAUCUCAGAUCUAUUCCGUGGGUUCUAGUUAAAGGAACAGAAGCUCCAAUACUUCGGCCACCUGCUGUGAAGAACUGACUCAUUGGAAAAGACUCUGAUGCUGGGAAAGACUGAAAGCAGGAGAAGAAGGGGACGACAGAGGAUGAGAUGGUUGGAUGGCAUCACUGACACGAUGGACAUGAGUUUGAGCAAGCUCCGGGAGUAGGUGAUGGACAGGGAAGCCUGGCAUGCUGUAGUCCAGGGGGUCGCAAAGAGUCGGACACGACUGAGCGACUGAACUGAAAUUAUUAUUUAGUGUGUUCAAGCCAGUUCGACUUGUGUGUCUGUUGCUUUUAACUGACAGAGUGUGAAUAACACUGACACGUUUUCUCCUUGUGGUGCUUGACUCUGGGGUGGGCAAUUUUCAUAUCUUCCCACAUAGGGUCCUCAUAAUCACCUGGGGAGGUAUUCCAUUUUGCAGACAGGAAAGCCAAGGCCCAGAGAGGUGAGGGAGUCUGGAGCAGAUGAUGCUGCCAGUAUGUGCUCAGGGACUCAAACCUGGUCCAAUAGACGUCUUGGUGGCCCAUCAAAUUCAACUUGUCCAAAGCUGAAUUUGAGAACCUCCCUCCCAGCCUGAUUUUCCCCCAGGGCCCCCAUCUCAGGGAUAGCGCCUCUUUCAGUCUGCUGGGGUUAACUGGAAGCCAGGUGUUCUUGACCCCUCCCAGCCUCACCAAGUCUUGUCCACCGCUGCUCCACAAGCCUGGAAGCAAGCAAUUUACUCCUUCCUCUGUCCAACUCUCCACCCCUGCCCAAGCUGUCCUCACUUCUCAAAAUCUUGGCCUUUUAGAAUUGCCUCCCACCUGGUUCUCCUAUGAAAAGUGAAAGUGUUAGUCACGCAGUCCUAUCCAACUCUUUGUGAUUCCCAUGGACUGUAGCCAGCCAGGCUCCUCUGUCCAUGGGAUUUUCCCAGCAAGAACACGGGAGCAGGUACCCAUUUCUUUCUCCAGGGGGUCUUCCUGACCCAGGAAUUGAACCCAGGUCUCCUGCAUUGCAGGUGGAUUCUUUACUGUUUGAG
ensembl:lncRNA